rnacentral:tRNA from 1 species
GCCCUGGUGGCAUAGUGGUUAAGUGCUAUGGCUGCUAACCAAAGGGUCGGCAGUUCGAAUCUGCCAGGCA